UCCAAUGUGGUGUAGUGGUUAACAUUGCUGUCUUUCAUUAAUUAUCACAGCAGCCCGGGGUUCGAUUCCCCGCAUUGGAA